rnacentral:lncRNA from 1 species
UCCUUGACUUAUUCUGGUCUGUGUCAAGAGUUUGCCCUGCAAACGGCAACAGCUCCAAGAAUCUGUCGGUGUACUCGUCUACACUCAUUUCCUCUGUCUGCCUUAACUGUUCAAACUCAAUCAUCUUCAAUUCUCUUGAACUGUCAGGAAAAGCCCAUUCUGCAAAUUCAUUUGCAAACUCCUCCCAUGAUAGGCUGUCCAACCUCG